rnacentral:lncRNA from 1 species
UAAACCUCAAAUAUAUAAACUGAACAACUUGAUUACUUCAUUAACUAUUAUAGCUUUCAAAUUUACUAACACACUCAUUUAAUAUCCCAAACAACCCUAUGACUGAUUGAAAUUAAAAUAACUACUGGAAACCUUUACUAAUCAUGACUUGGUUCUACCAUCCUACAACGAAAAUAACUAACUCAUGUCUAACUAAUAACACUCACACAAAUCGGAGAAAAAUAGUCUCACACAGUCCAAUAUGAAUCAAACAGUCCAAACAAUUUAGAAGUAAUCCUAAUUAAAGUCCAAAUCAUUACAGUCGACUAUAAUGAAAACAUCGCAACAAUUGGAGCUUCCAUUAGAAUUAUGCUUCCAUUUCAUUUCAUUUCAGCUGAAGAUCUACAUGAUUCUAAGAUUCAGGAUAGGUACCCGGGUGUUAAAUCACAGUAAGAAGAAGGUAAGAAGAAGCAGCAACAGAGGUUAUAUAACAGCUCAAAUUAGAGUUCACAGCUUCAACAAACAAUAUCAAUACUAAUCUAGAAUUGCAUUCCGAGAGGGACAGUAUCAAUAAUAAACCAAAUGAACUUGAAGAAAACCCAGACAAACUCAGAACUAGACCAGGACCACUUCUGAAAUCAACAGCUAAUAAAAACAGCCUGAAACAGUCUCACUAGAACCCAAACCCACUCGAGAUGCACUCAGGAAUCUCCAGAAAAUUUCAGUAACCAAACUAUAGACUAAAUGUUGCAAAUCAAAUACCGAAAUUCAAAAUCAACCUGAAAACUUUCAAUAGAACUGUUUUUUUGAUUUUCUGUAGUUUCUGUUUUUGUAUUUUUGUUUUCUGUUGGGAUGAACUAAGAUCUAAAGAGCUUUGAAUUUUGAAUUCAAAUUUAAGAUCUGCUGAAAUUAUAUAGACUAUUUUUUGGGCGGAAAUUUAGAGAGUGAAAAACUUGUUGCCUAAGGCACUAUUCAUGCCCUUUUAUAGGCAAAGAUGAUGACUCUAUCAGAUUCUGUAGUUUUUUAACCUAGUCCCUCUUUAUUUUCAGAUUAGUCCUCUAUUUUUUAACUUGCUUCUCAGGUUAACACACUCAUCUUCUGAAAUUUACCUUAACACCCACCUCUAGAAGCUUCUAGGAAGUUCUUGAUAGAUUCCCUACCCUUGAGUACCUAUACCCUUGACUUGGUCCUGAUAUUACUAACCAACCUCCAGCCCUGUUAACUAACCAAACAUCUUGUCUAACUAACUGUAGUUAAACCAGCAUUUCUGAAAAUCGAACAGCUAAAAACCAAACAAAUCCUAAGAGUUGAACUAACAAGGAGAUUAAUUCUAAAAUCAGUAAAUAACCAAGUAAAACAACACUGAAAAUUGAUCUAACCACCAACCAAACAGAGCUUAAACAAAAAUUAAUCUAACUAAUCUAAUUAGCUGACAUUUAAUUCUAAACAAAUAACAAUUACCUAGUAUAGUCCCACAAAGUGGAGUCUGGGGUAAUAUGUAGAUGAGCCUUACCCCUACCCGAAAGGGCAGAGAGGCUGUUUCCAAUAAACUCUAAACAAAUAGAAAUCUCAAAUGUCGUAAAGCUAACACAACAAUGAACUAAUUAAAAUCAAACAUAGCCAAAAAUGAAACCAACUAUGAAGACUAAACGGCCAGAAAUCAAAAAAUGCAAAGCGACAGUUAAACAUGGAACCCUACUAUGGAAUCAAACUGGCAAAUUACUAAAACAAACUAACUAUAUAGUAAAGAAAGAUCAGAACCCUCAAUUGAAAUCCUAAUUCACCACAACGAUAACAAACUUUGAAUAAAAACAAAACGAUAAUAAUAAAAAGCAACUGAAAACAUAGAAGAAAGGUCAAACUCACUGAUUUGAGCCUUCGACUUGACUGAACUUGGAAUUGAUCUUCAAAUGAUAUUAUGUGUUUGUUCUUACCAAGAACAAACACAUAACAUGAUUUUAAAAUCAUUCGAACACCGACUGACACUGAAAAUUCAAGCAACCUUGACAGCAAACCCUAGAUUUGGGAUUCGAAACUUUUUAGUCGGAUUGGGGAAAAUAGCUUGGUGAUUUGGACGUAUGAGAGUUAAGAGAGUAUGGGGUGUGAAUUUGGUAGAUUUUGGAUGAACUUGUAUUUUGGACCGGACCUUUGAUUUAAUAUUCGAAACGUUAGGUUGUGAUUUGAGGAAAACUAUGGCCAGAUUCGAGAUGAGGGAGAAAAGGAGAUUCUAGGGUGUUAUUUUGGUGGGUGUUGGCGUCGGCGCCGCCACCGGAGACGGUGGGGAAUUAGUGGAGGCUCAAUUAGGGUUCUUGUGAAGAGGGUCUGUGAGGGAGACGAUUCGGGGGUAUGGGGGUUUCAGACACUAAUAUAUGAAGGU